rnacentral:pre_miRNA from 1 species
UUUGUACUCCCUCCGUCCGAAAAAGCUUGUCCCUCAAAUGGAUGUAUCUAGCACUAACUUGGUGUUAGAUACAUCCAUUUGAGGGACAAGCUUGGGACAAGCUUUUUCGGACGGAUGGAGUACUUC